AUGGAAAGAAUUUCGUGUUACUGCGGAGCUGAAGGGUUUGAGAAGGAAAGGAUGAUAACAGAGUUGAGGAACCAGAGUGGAGCUACGGCUUUGCCUGCAGACGCGCGAGGGAGUGAGGUUAUACUUGCAAAGAACCUCCUAAUUUCCCCAAGUUGCGAGAAGAACUACGAGUUUGUGCAGACGGUUGACAUCGCUGUUGUCAAAGACGACAGCAAGGAAAAGCGUUAA